CCAUCCAUAAACCCCAAACUGAGAAGAGGGAAAGGAAAAUCAAUUAGAAGGAGUAAGAAGCUGCUCGUUUGACAUCGAUGGCAUCAGGAGGAGGGAACACGGUGGAGUGGCAAGUGCGGCCGCCGAACCCGAAGAACCCAAUCGUAUUCUUUGACAUAACCAUCGGUAACAUCCCCGCCGGCCGCAUCAAGAUGGAGCUCUUCGCCGAUAUCGCUCCCAAAACCGCAGAAAAUUUCAGGCAGUUCUGCACCGGCGAGUACAGGAAAGCCGGGUUGCCUGUGGGUUACAAGGGAUGCCAGUUCCAUAGAGUGAUUAAGGAUUUCAUGAUUCAGGCUGGUGACUUCUUAAAGGGUGAUGGUAGUGGAUGUAUUUCCAUCUACGGACAUAAGUUUGAUGAUGAAAAUUUUGUUGCCAAACACACUGGUCCUGGUCUGUUAUCAAUGGCAAAUAGCGGACCAAAUUCUAAUGGUAGUCAGUUCUUUAUAACUUGUGCAAAAUGCGACUGGCUUGACAAUAAGCACGUUGUAUUUGGGAGAGUGCUCGGAGAUGGCCUUUUGGUUGUCAGGAAGAUUGAGAAUGUGGCUACGGGACCCAACAACCGGCCUAAGCUCGCAUGUAUUAUUGCUGAGUGUGGGGAAAUGUAAACUUAGUUGAGAAACAUGCCUAACAUAAAUUAUAUCCACGACCCAUAGAUAGCUGAUUCUCCAAAUCAAAUAGAAUGUUUUUGUCUUUUGUCCUCUAUGGGGGUUAUUCUAUUAUCCAAUGCUGGUUCUACAUGAGUGGGAUCUUGAAGAGGUGGCUUGAAUAAAAGUCCCACAUAACCAUUUUUUUUUUCCAAUGAACUAUUUUCUAGACUCCAUUCACUUGGGAUUGAC